rnacentral:rRNA from 1 species
CAGUCGCCACGGUAACACGUAGGAGGCAAGCGUUGUCCGAAAUUAUUGGGCGUAAAGGGCUCGCAGGCGGUUUCUUAAGUCUGAUGUGAAAGCCCCCGGCUCAACCGGGGAGGGUCAUUGGAAACUGGGAAACUUGAGUGCAGAAGAGGAGAGUGGAAUACCACGUGUAGCGGUGAAAUGCGUAGAGAUGUGGAGGAACACCAGUGGCGAAGGCGACUCUCUGGUCUGUAACUGACGUUGAGGAGCGAAAGCGUGGGGAGCGAACAGGAUUAGAUACCCCAGUAGUCCCUGUCUCUUAUAC